rnacentral:rRNA from 1 species
GUCCUUGCCCUAAACUAUGUAUACUUGGCGUAGACAGGCUCAACCCUGUCUGUGCCGUAGCUAACGCGAUAAGUAUACCGCCUGGGGAGUACGUUCGCAAGGAUAAAAACUCAAAAGAAUUGACGGGGACCCGCACAAGCAGUGGAGUAUGUGGUUUAAUUCGAUGCAACGCGAAGAACCUUACCUGGGCUUGACAUACACUUGACAACGUAAGAGAUUACGCGUUCCCGCAAGGGACAAGUGAACAGGUGCUGCAUGGCUGUCGU